CGGCGAGUGAAGCGGCAACAGCUCAAAUUUGAAAUCUGGCCCUUGGGUCCGAAUUGUAAUUUGUAGAGGAUGUUUUUGGUGCGGUAUCUUCCGAGUUCCUUGGAACAGGACGCCUUAGAGGGUGAGAGCCCCGUACGGUUGAAUGCCUAGCCUUUGUAAAACUCCUUCGACGAGUCGAGUAGUUUGGGAAUGCUGCUCUAAAUGGGAGGUAAAUUUCUUCUAAAGCUAAAUACCGGCCAGAGACCGAUAGCGCACAAGUAGAGUGAUCGAAAGAUGAAAAGCACUUUGAAAAGAGGGUUAAAUAGCACGUGAAAUUGUUGAAAGGGAAGGAUUUAUGACCAGACUUUUUCUGGGCGAAUCAUCCGGUGUUCUCACCGGUGCACUUCGUUCAGUUCAGGCCAGCAUCGAUUUUCGGGGCGGGAUAAAAGCUUUAGGAAUGUGGCUCCCUCGGGAGUGUUAUAGCCUAUUGUAUAAUACCGCCCUGGGGAUCGAGGUACGCGCUUCUGCAAGGAUGCUGGCGUAAUGGUUAUCAAUCACCCGUCUUGAAACACGGACCAAGGAGUCGAACAUUUGUGCAAGUGUUUGGGUGUUAAACCCUCACGCGUAAUGAAAGUGAACGGAGGUGAGAGCCCUUUACGGGGUGCAUCAUCGACCGAUCCUGAUGUCUUCGGAUGGAUUUGAGUAAGAGCAUAAAUGUUCGGACCCGAAAGAUGGUGAACUAUGCGUGGAUAGGGUGAAGCCAGAGGAAACUCUGGUGGAGGCUCGCAGCGGUUCUGACGUGCAGAUCGAUCGUCAAAUCUGCGCAUGGGGGCGAGAGAC
rnacentral:rRNA from 2 species